rnacentral:lncRNA from 1 species
GCUGCCCGGGGCUCACCGCGCCGCCGCCGGGCGCUGACUCAGCCGCAGUCCGGCUGCUUCGCCGAGCCGGACCUGGGGAGCGCGCGCACGGAGACCGUGCCCGGUGCCCGGUGCCCGGCGCCUGGAGCCAUCCGGGAAGCACCGCAGCGCUUGAACUAGCUUCCAGAGCUGGGGGCUGGACCGAUUAGGUCCCAGAGCGCAUCGGACUCGGCUGACCAGGUCAGAUGAACCAGAUACAUCCAGCAGUCACCCUACCAGGGAUCAGAAGGCAGCACAGAUCCAGAAUACUCUGUAUGGAUCUCAAAAUGCUCAUCACCACAUCACAAGGACAUAAUGACCCUCCGUACACCCACAUCUGCUGGAAGCACUAAGGAAGAAGCUAGAACUCAGGAAUCAAGGGAAACAUGGAGGAA